GCCCAGCUUGCUGGGUGGAUUAGUGGCGAACGGGUGAGUAACACGUGAGUAACCUGCCCUUGACUCUGGGAUAAGCGUUGGAAACGACGUCUAAUACCGGAUACGAGCUUCCACCGCAUGGUGAGUUGCUGGAAAGAAUUUUGGUCAAGGAUGGACUCGCGGCCUAUCAGCUUGUUGGUGAGGUAACGGCUCACCAAGGCGACGACGGGUAGCCGGCCUGAGAGGGUGACCGGCCACACUGGGACUGAGACACGGCCCAGACUCCUACGGGAGGCAGCAGUGGGGAAUAUUGCACAAUGGGCNAAAGCCUGAUGCAGCAACGCCGCGUGAGGGACGACGGCCUUCGGGUUGUAAACCUCUUUUAGCAGGGAAGAAGCGAAAGUGACGGUACCUGCAGAAAAANCNCCGGCUAACUACNUGCCAG
rnacentral:rRNA from 1 species